UGAAUGGCUCUUCUAGGAGCCACACAAGAUGCUGAUCCAAACCAAG
rfam:Aptenodytes forsteri contig6741, whole genome shotgun sequence.